rnacentral:rRNA from 1 species
GAUGAACGCUGGCGGCGUGCCUAAUACAUGCAAGUCGAGCGAACGGACGAGAAGCUUGCUUCUCUGAUGUUAGCGGCGGACGGGUGAGUAACACGUGGAUAACCUACCUAUAAGACUGGGAUAACUUCGGGAAACCGGAGCUAAUACCGGAUAAUAUUUUGAACCGCAUGGUUCAAAAGUGAAAGACGGUCUUGCUGUCACUUAUAGAUGGAUCCGCGCUGCAUUAGCUAGUUGGUAAGGUAACGGCUUACCAAGGCAACGAUACAUAGCCGACCUGAGAGGGUGAUCGGCCACACUGGAACUGAGACACGGUCCAGACUCCUACGGGAGGCAGCAGUAGGGAAUCUUCCGCAAUGGGCGAAAGCCUGACGGAGCAACGCCGCGUAAGUGAUGAAGGUCUUCGGAUCGUAAAACUCUGUUAUUAGGGAAGAACAUAUGUGUAAGUAACUGUGCACAUCUUGACGGUACCUAAUCAGAAAGCCCCGGCUAACUACGUG